CGUCUUAUAAUUUAUAAAGAAUGUCGAAUUGCAAAUUUGAAAGAAGGAUAAAACCUUAAGACUU
rnacentral:tRNA from 1 species